GGGGUUAGAGCUCAGUGGUAGAGCACUUGCCCAGCAUGCAUGAGACCCUGGGUUCAAUUCCCAGCACUCCUC
rnacentral:tRNA from 1 species